UACAGAGGGUGCAAGCAUUAAUCGGAAUUACUGGGCGUAAAGCGCACGCAGGCGGCUUGUUAAGUCGGAUGUGAAAGCCCCGGGCUCAACCUGGGAAUUGCAUUCGAUACUGGCAAGCUAGAGUAUGUGAGAGGGGGGUAAAAUUCCAAGUGUAGCGGUGAGAUGCGUAGAGAUUUGGAGGAAUACCAGUGGCGAAGGCGGCCCCCUGGCACACUACUGACGCUCAGGUGCGAAAGCGUGGGGAGCAAACAGG
rnacentral:rRNA from 1 species